AUUGAACGCUGGCGGCAGGCCUAACACAUGCAAGUCGAACGAGUGGCGGACGGGUGAGUAAUGUCUGGGAAACUGCCUGAUGGAGGGGGAUAACUACUGGAAACGGUAGCUAAUACCGCAUACCAUCAGAUGUGCCCAGAGGGGAUUAGCUUGUUGGUGGGGUAACGCCUCACCAAGGCUACGAUCCCUAGCUGGUCUGAGAGGAGGACGAGCCAGAAUGGAACUGAGACACGGUCAAGAAUCCGACGGGAGGGAGCAGUGGGGAAUAGUGCACAAUGGGCGCAAGCCUGAUGCAGCCAUGCCGAGUGUAUGAAGAAGGCCUUCGGGUUGUAAAGUACUUUCAGCGGGGAGGCGUUACCCGCAGAAGAAGCACCGGCUAACUCCGUGCCAGCAGCCGCGGUAAUUC
rnacentral:rRNA from 1 species